GCGGCCAGCCACCAUCUUGGAAGCAGCUCGCCACCAUCUUGGAAGCUCUGUGAGCAAGGACCCCCGGUAACAUUUUGGCGACCACGAAGGGACAUCCAAAGCUAUUUUAAGAAUAGAGCCAAUAUUACAGCAAAUAACCUUCAUGCCUGCAAAAACUUUUUCAGCUUAACUAAUGCUUGUGAUGUUUACUGCCUGUCUUUUCAACUUGGUCUACUGAGUCUUUGAUACUGGUGACUGAGCUGCUUAAAGUGAACUCUGGACAAGGUGGACAGCAUCUUCUUGAUUUAAGAUAUCUUGCAGUAAGGGAAGCUAUGUCCUGAGAAGCCUUUACAGAGGCACAGGAAGAGGCCAGGACCUGAAGCCUCCCCCUCCCCCAAGAGUCACACAAGUGAGCUUGGAAGAGGAACUUCAGCACCAACUGGCAAUGUAACUAGUGCUGCGUGAAAGACCCUGAACCAGAACCACCUAAAUAAGCCCCUUCCAGAUAUCUGAGCUUUAGAAACUAUGUAAUAUAAUAAAGACUUGUUUGGGGGCAAUUUAUAACCCAGAACUGGAUAACCAAUACAGUUGUAUUUUUAACAAACAGCUGGCUGGGGUGAAGAGUGCAGGUUGAAACAACAAAAAGAAUUUUCCCCGUAGAAAUGUACCUCAUCCAUAUGAAAAAUUAUACUUGCAAUCGGAUUCUCAGCAGCAGUGCUUUAAAGUACAUUUGUAUUUAUUUAUUUUUAAUUGACAAAUUAAAAAUUAUAUACGUUUAUGGUGUAAAAGAUGAUGCUUUGAUAUAGGUAUAAACUGUGGAAUGGCUAAAUUAAGCCAAUUAG
rnacentral:lncRNA from 1 species